CGAGAUUUUGGUUCAUUCAAGGAGAGACCCUUGCCCUUGUACUGCAAUAUUCGGGGAAUGUGAAGUGGCAUCAAAAUACAAUGGCCAUUGAUCUCCUUUUCUUCUCCUCAACCUCAAGAAUCCCAUCUCCAAACCCUAACCCUAGCCCUGAAUCCCCAUCUGAUUUCGAGCCAGUUUGUGGUGCUAAUUCCAAAAUGGGAUUAGCAAAACGAAAUAUUGGUUCCAGUUCUUUGGAGAUGGAUUCUCGACGCGUAUCUUCAUGGAGCUCGAGCACAUUCCUUCUAGAUAAUGUCAGUCAAUGUCCCAAGGCAAAAAGAGCAAACUCCUUCAGGAGUCUUUUGCUGCAUUGGGCAAUACCGAAGACCUCAGGCUCGAGCAAUUUGUCCUCGACAAGCUCACCAUUGAAGACCGUAGCUUUGAAUUGUAGGCGCGCGUGAGAGGAUAUCUGCAAUGUUGCGAGCACCCAUAGUGCCCCGUGUGUACUUUAGGUUAUUGCAGGUAUAUACAGCAGGGGCAUUUGGGUCAAAUUGUGCAUCUGAACUCAGUGCCAGUGUCAUCGCAACAAUGAAGAAGAAGGCAAUCAUCCUCAUUGUUGAAGAAGCCAUCUCUAGUAUUUGUUUUAUUUUCUUGCUUUUGUUUGCUAUAUGUCUGCAGGUAAGAAGUAUAAAUAGGCAGUAGGGGAGUAACUAAAAAUAUUACUUAUCGUCUUGAAUGGGCGAUAUGAUGUGUAUGUUUGUUUACAAAUUAGGAACCACAAGUAUUUGUAGCUUCUUGAUCAAUGGUAAGUACUUUUGGCUAUUAUUGAUUAUGUGACGCAGCUGGCCUUUAUUAAUACAAUAAAUAGUGUAGGAGUUUGACUAAGAUUAUGGCUUGUGGGCUGAUGACUGAAAUUAGAUAGAAUCUCGAACUCUCAAAAUGGAACCUGAACAGUCCAUGCUGGAAAUUCGGAAGGUAUUGUCGACAAUUCAGAAGGUACUAUUCACUACUUAAUGUAGUUAUAUUUACUUCCUGGAAAUUAAUAUUCUUCUAGCUGCAAAGGCCAAAGAUAUUACAGAUUUGGGAUCUCUAAAAGAGGCAGCCAAAAUUUUAUUCCUUACAGACAUCAAAAAUAUUCUUGGAGAAACUUCUACUUGUGUUGAGUUACUUCCCUUUCACUUUGUUGUCUUUAUGACACAAGUGUAAAUCAUUUUUUCAAGGAGUUCCAAAUUUAUGUACUGCUCAUGCAAUUUUGUUAAAGAAGAAAAGGUUUCAGGUUAAUGUAUGUCGCGUAAACAUGAGCAUUUUCUGUAUUCCGGUUCCAAUUUGUACUUUGAAUUUGGAUUCAUAAUCAGUUAUAAAUAUAUUCAGGUCUUCUGGGGGAAAAAAGAAUCGAUAAUAUACGAAAUCGGCUAAUAAUUCUUGCUUUAGAAGGUAAAUUUUAUAUGACAGCAGACGUUCAUUGAGAGUGUUAGAGAUAAAAAAGGUUUCAUGCUUUUAUCCUCUCUCCUAUUUAUGAGUCUAAACUCCUCAUCCUGUCAUCCAAAAUCAUUAUUCUGGAAGAAGAAUUCAUACUAAAUUAUCUAAAAGUAGAGGAUUCAUUUGUGCUUACAAAGGUUGUCUACUUCCAGGAGUCGCUACUAUUAUUUUGGAAUUGAUGGUCAGCAUGUGGCUUCACUUGUUCCUGUUAAUGGUGGAGUAUCUUCUUAUUUUUCUUGUGUCUGCUCUUCCUUCUCUGUGCUGCUAUGUGCUGGGAAGUGAACAAUGAUUUGGAAUAUUUUCUGCUCUGUGUCCAUUAGGCUUGUGCAGGUAAUAAAAAAGUACGAUGCACUGGACUUAUGCAAGAAAGAUUGAAUGCUGAUCUCAACUAAGAUGCUUGCUUGAGGAUAACUAGAUCAUUUGUGACUGUCAUUGUUGUGAAGUGUAGAAAGGAUUUCUACUUUCUGAAAAAAAGAAUGAUAACAGAACAUAUUCCUGCUAUUCGAGUCAAAAUUUUGUCCAAUUAAGUUUCAAAAUGCAUGUCCUUUUCCUGUCUGAAAAAAAGAAUGAUGACAGAACAUAUUC